rnacentral:rRNA from 1 species
CUGGGCCGCACGCGCGCUACACUGAUGCAUUCAACGAGCCUAUCCUUGGCCGAGAGGCCCGGGUAAUCUUUGAAACUGCAUCGUGAUGGGGAUAGAUUAUUGCAAUUAUUAGUCUUCAACGAGGAAUGCCUAGUAAGCGCGAGUCAUCAGCUCGCGUUGAUUACGUCCCUGCCCUUUGUACACACCGCCCGUCGCUCCUACCGAUUGGGUGUGCUGGUGAAGUGUUCGGAUUGGUUCCAGUUGGUGGCAACAUCGACUGAGACUGAAAAGUUCCCUAAACCCUCCCACCUAGAGGAAGGAGAAGUCGUAACAAGGUUUCCGUAGGUGAACCUGCGGAAGGAUCAUUG